UACGUAGGGGGCUAGCGUUGUCCGGAUUUAUUGGGCGUAAAGAGCGUGUAGGCGGUUUGGUAGGUCCGCUGUGAAAACUCGAGGCUCAACCUCGAGACGCCGGUGGAAACCAUCAGGCUAGAGUCCGGAAGAGGAGAGUGGAAUUCCGAGUGUAGCAGUGAAAUGUGUAGAUAUUCGGAAGAACACCAGUGGCGAAGGCAGCGAAUUGGCUCUAUAUUGACGCUCAGGCACGAAAGCAUGGGGAUCAAACAGG
rnacentral:rRNA from 1 species